UAGGGAAUCUUGCGCAAUGGACGCAAGCCUGACGGAGCAACGCCGCGUGGGUGAAGAAGGAUUUCGGUUCGUAAAACUCUGUUGUUAGGGAAGAACGACGCAUAGAGAAACUGUUAGACGGGUGACGGUAACUAACCAGAAAGCCACGGCGAAAUACGUGGCAGCAGCCGCGGUAAUAGGAAGGUGGCAAGCGUAGUCCGGAUUGAUGGGACGUAAAGCGAGCGGAGGCGGUCAAUUAAGGCAGAUGUGAAAGCCGCCGGCUAAACCGGGGGAUUUCAAUUGAAACUGGUUUACUUGAGUGAAGGAAAAGAGGGUGGAAUUCCAUGUGUAGCGGUGAAAUGCGUAGAUAUAUGGAGGAACACCAGUGGCGAAGGCGACCUUCUGGCCUGUACCUGACGCUGAGGCUCGAAAGCGUGGGUAGCAAACAGG
rnacentral:rRNA from 1 species